rnacentral:misc_RNA from 1 species
GAUGAAGAACGUAGUGAAAUGCGAUAAGUAGUGUGAAUUGCAGAAUUCAGUGAAUCAUCGAAUCUUUGAACGCACAUUGCGCCCCCUGGUAUUCCGGGGGGCAUGCCUGUCCGAGCGUCAUUACAACCCUCAAGCUCAGCUUGGUGUUGGGCCCGGCCGCCCCGGCGGGCCCUAAAGUCAGUGGCGGUGCCGUCCGGCUCCGAGCGUAGUAAUUCUUCUCGCUCUGGAGGUCCGGUCGUGUGCUCGCCAGCAACCCCCAAUUUUUUUCAGGUUGACCUCGGAUCAGGUAGGGAUACCCGCUGAACUUAAGCAUAUCAAUAAGCGGAGGA